GGAAUUUUGAAAAUCCGGCCAAAAUGACGUCAUCAAUAACAUAAUAUUAAGAUGCAAAUAAAAAUACUGAAUAAAACAUAAAUUAUUAUACAUAUAAAUCAUAUGAGGUAAGUACAUGUAUUUCUUCUUACCAUUAGGGGAUUAUAGGGGACUCCCCUUUGAGGAUUGCAGCCUUAUUGUUGUUAUUUUCUUGUGUGGCAACCUAGCGCUGAUUUCUCUCUUUCCAUUUUCUUUAGUUUAUACAAGAAAUGCUUCAUGCAUAAAAAUAAUAGAUUUUUUGUUUUGUUUU